GACGAACGCUGGCGGCGUGCUUAACACAUGCAAGUCGAACGGCAAGGCCCUGCUUUUGUGGGGUGCUCGAGUGGCGAACGGGUGAGUAACACGUGAGUAACCUGCCCUUGACUUUGGGAUAACUUCAGGAAACUGGGGCUAAUCCCGGAUCGGAGCUGCUGCUGCAUGGUGGGGGUUGGAACGUUUCGGCGGUUGGGGAUGGACUCGCGGCUUACCAGCUUGUUGGUGGGGUAGUGGCUUACCAAGGCUGUGACGGGUAGCCGGCCUGUGAGGGUGACCGGCCACAUUGGGACUGAGAGACGGCCCAGACUCCUACGGGAGGCAGCAGUGGGGAAUAUUGCACAGUGGGCGGAAGCCUGAUGCAGCAACGCCGCGUGCGGGAUGACGGCCUUCGGGUUGUAAACCGCUUUCGCCUGUGACGAAGCGUGAGUGACGGUAAUGGGUAAAGAAGCACCGGCUCACUACGUG
rnacentral:rRNA from 1 species